rnacentral:rRNA from 1 species
GGUUAAGCGACUAAGCGUACACGGUGGAUGCCCUGGCAGUCAGAGGCGAUGAAGGACGUGCUAAUCUGCGAUAAGCGUCGGUAAGGUGAUAUGAACCGUUAUAACCGGCGAUUUCCGAAUGGGGAAACCCAGUGUGUUUCGACACACUAUCAUUAACUGAAUCCAUAGGUUAAUGAGGCGAACCGGGGGAACUGAAACAUCUAAGUACCCCGAGGAAAAGAAAUCAACCGAGAUUCCCCCAGUAGCGGCGAGCGAACGGGGAGCAGCCCAGAGCCUGAAUCAGUGUGUGUGUUAGUGGAAGCGUCUGGAAAGGCGCGCGAUACAGGGUGACAGCCCCGUACACAAAAAUGCACAUGCUGUGAGCUCGAUGAGUAGGGCGGGACACGUGGUAUCCUGUCUGAAUAUGGGGGGACCAUCCUCCAAGGCUAAAUACUCCUGACUGACCGAUAGUGAACCAGUACCGUGAGGGAAAGGCGAAAAGAACCCCGGCGAGGGGAGUGAAAAAGAACCUGAAACCGUGUACGUACAAGCAGUGGGAGCACGCUUAGGCGUGUGACUGCGUACCUUUUGUAUAAUGGGUCAGCGACUUAUAUUCUGUAGCAAGGUUAACCGAAUAGGGGAGCCGAAGGGAAACCGAGUCUUAACUGGGCGUUAAGUUGCAGGGUAUAGACCCGAAACCCGGUGAUCUAGCCAUGGGCAGGUUGAAGGUUGGGUAACACUAACUGGAGGACCGAACCGACUAAUGUUGAAAAAUUAGCGGAUGACUUGUGGCUGGGGGUGAAAGGCCAAUCAAACCGGGAGAUAGCUGGUUCUCCCCGAAAGCUAUUUAGGUAGCGCCUCGUGAAUUCAUCUCCGGGGGUAGAGCACUGUUUCGGCAAGGGGGUCAUUCCGACUUACCAACCCGAUGCAAACUGCGAAUACCGGAGAAUGUUAUCACGGGAGACACACGGCGGGUGCUAACGUCCGUCGUGAAGAGGGAAACAACCCAGACCGCCAGCUAAGGUCCCAAAGUCAUGGUUAAGUGGGAAACGAUGUGGGAAGGCCCAGACAGCCAGGAUGUUGGCUUAGAAGCAGCCAUCAUUUAAAGAAAGCGUAAUAGCUCACUGGUCGAGUCGGCCUGCGCGGAAGAUGUAACGGGGCUAAACCAUGCACCGAAGCUGCGGCAGCGACGCUUAUGCGUUGUUGGGUAGGGGAGCGUUCUGUAAGCCUGUGAAGGUGUGCUGUGAGGCAUGCUGGAGGUAUCAGAAGUGCGAAUGCUGACAUAAGUAACGAUAAAGCGGGUGAAAAGCCCGCUCGCCGGAAGACCAAGGGUUCCUGUCCAACGUUAAUCGGGGCAGGGUGAGUCGACCCCUAAGGCGAGGCCGAAAGGCGUAGUCGAUGGGAAACAGGUUAAUAUUCCUGUACUUGGUGUUACUGCGAAGGGGGGACGGAGAAGGCUAUGUUGGCCGGGCGACGGUUGUCCCGGUUUAAGCGUGUAGGCUGGUUUUCCAGGCAAAUCCGGAAAAUCAAGGCUGAGGCGUGAUGACGAGGCACUACGGUGCUGAAGCAACAAAUGCCCUGCUUCCAGGAAAAGCCUCUAAGCAUCAGGUAACAUCAAAUCGUACCCCAAACCGACACAGGUGGUCAGGUAGAGAAUACCAAGGCGCUUGAGAGAACUCGGGUGAAGGAACUAGGCAAAAUGGUGCCGUAACUUCGGGAGAAGGCACGCUGAUAUGUAGGUGAAGUCCCUUGCGGAUGGAGCUGAAAUCAGUCGAAGAUACCAGCUGGCUGCAACUGUUUAUUAAAAACACAGCACUGUGCAAACACGAAAGUGGACGUAUACGGUGUGACGCCUGCCCGGUGCCGGAAGGUUAAUUGAUGGGGUUAGCGCAAGCGAAGCUCUUGAUCGAAGCCCCGGUAAACGGCGGCCGUAACUAUAACGGUCCUAAGGUAGCGAAAUUCCUUGUCGGGUAAGUUCCGACCUGCACGAAUGGCGUAAUGAUGGCCAGGCUGUCUCCACCCGAGACUCAGUGAAAUUGAACUCGCUGUGAAGAUGCAGUGUACCCGCGGCAAGACGGAAAGACCCCGUGAACCUUUACUAUAGCUUGACACUGAACAUUGAGCCUUGAUGUGUAGGAUAGGUGGGAGGCUUAGAAGUGUGGACGCCAGUCUGCAUGGAGCCGACCUUGAAAUACCACCCUUUAAUGUUUGAUGUUCUAACGUUGACCCGUAAUCCGGGUUGCGGACAGUGUCUGGUGGGUAGUUUGACUGGGGCGGUCUCCUCCUAAAGAGUAACGGAGGAGCACGAAGGUUGGCUAAUCCUGGUCGGACAUCAGGAGGUUAGUGCAAUGGCAUAAGCCAGCUUGACUGCGAGCGUGACGGCGCGAGCAGGUGCGAAAGCAGGUCAUAGUGAUCCGGUGGUUCUGAAUGGAAGGGCCAUCGCUCAACGGAUAAAAGGUACUCCGGGGAUAACAGGCUGAUACCGCCCAAGAGUUCAUAUCGACGGCGGUGUUUGGCACCUCGAUGUCGGCUCAUCACAUCCUGGGGCUGAAGUAGGUCCCAAGGGUAUGGCUGUUCGCCAUUUAAAGUGGUACGCGAGCUGGGUUUAGAACGUCGUGAGACAGUUCGGUCCCUAUCUGCCGUGGGCGCUGGAGAACUGAGGGGGGCUGCUCCUAGUACGAGAGGACCGGAGUGGACGCAUCACUGGUGUUCGGGUUGUCAUGCCAAUGGCACUGCCCGGUAGCUAAAUGCGGAAGAGAUAAGUGCUGAAAGCAUCUAAGCACGAAACUUGCCCCGAGAUGAGUUCUCCCUGACCCUUUAAGGGUCCUGAAGGAACGUUGAAGACGACGACGUUGAUAGGCCGGGUGUGUAAGCGCAGCGAUGCGUUGAGCUAACCGGUACUAAUGAACCGUGAGGCUUAACCUU